rfam:Pythium ultimum DAOM BR144 ctg_1117875581134, whole genome shotgun sequence.
GCUGUUUUAGCUCAGUGGUAGAGCGUCUGAUUGAAAAUCAGGUGGUCGGUGGUUCGAUUCCACCAAAUAGUA